UACGGAGGGUGCAAGCGUUAUCCGGAUUCACUGGGUUUAAAGGGUGCGUAGGUGGGUUGGUAAGUCAGUGGUGAAAUCCCCGAGCUUAACUUGGGAACUGCCAUUGAUACUAUCAAUCUUGAAUAUUGUGGAGGUUAGCGGAAUAUGUCAUGUAGCGGUGAAAUGCUUAGAUAUGACAUAGAACACCAAUUGCGAAGGCAGCUGGCUACACAUAUAUUGACACUGAGGCACGAAAGCGUGGGGAUCAAACAGG
rnacentral:rRNA from 1 species